AGUGAGAGGCAAUAGCAAGGCCAACCAUGCACAAGAUAUUCCAAGAGGGACCCCCCCAAUGCCUGCUGAAUGUGUGACACAGGUCACACAACAUCAUAUGACUUAGCUAAGUUGUUGAUAUUUUGGGUACAAGGAUUAACAUAGGUUGAAGGUAUAAAAUAUAUGUUGCUUGACUGUAUAGUUAGUGAGGAUCAUGUUCCACUUUUUUGUAUUUUUGUAAUGGACAUGCAAUGCUAAGAAUAGCAAUAUGAUGAUGUGGCCAUUUUUGUUUUUUUGUAGUGGCCAUGAAGUAUUUUAUAACUGAUGAUGUAACUGAACAUAUCUGAUAGGAAUGAUGUAAGUAAACUACUUGAACAUAUUUUACAACAAUCAUGAUGUAAUUAAACAGGUGCAUAUUUAUGGAAUGGUUUUACUUGCUGUUUAGAUUA